CAUGCACCAAUGGUGUCCCUCAGCCUGGACUGUGGGAUUGGGCCAACACCGGCUCUCUGACAUCCCCUGAGAGGUCCCGAAUUUCAAGGGGUGCAGGCCAGGCUGAGGGACCCCACUGGUGCACG
rnacentral:pre_miRNA from 1 species